rnacentral:rRNA from 1 species
GGCGAACGGGUGAGUAACACGUGAGUAACCUGCCCUUGACUCUGGGAUAAGCCUUGGAAACGAGGUCUAAUACCGGAUAGGAGCACUCAUCGCAUGGUGGGUGUUGGAAAGAAUUUCGGUCAUGGAUGGACUCGCGGCCUAUCAGCUUGUUGGUGAGGUAAUGGCUCACCAAGGCGACGACGGGUAGCCGGCCUGAGAGGGUGACCGGCCACACUGGGACUGAGACACGGCCCAGACUCCUACGGGAGGCAGCAGUGGGGAAUAUUGCACAAUGGGCGAAAGCCUGAUGCAGCGACGCCGCGUGAGGGAUGACGGCCUUCGGGUUGUAAACCUCUUUCAGUAGGGAAGAAGCGAAAGUGACGGUACCUGCAGAAGAAGCACCGGCUAACUACGUGCCAGCAGCCGCGGUAAUACGUAGGGUGCGAGCGUUAUCCGGAAUUAUUGGGCGUAAAGAGCUCGUAGGCGGUUUGUCGCGUCUGCCGUGAAAGUCCGGGGCUUAACUCCGGAUCUGCGGUGGGUACGGGCAGACUAGAGUGCAGUAGGGGAGACUGGAAUUCCUGGUGUAGCGGUGGAAUGCGCAGAUAUCAGGAGGAACACCGAUGGCGAAGGCAGGUCUCUGGGCUGUAACUGACGCUGAGGAGCGAAAGCAUGGGGAGCGAACAGGAUUAGAUACCCUGGUAGUCCAUGCCGUAAACGUUGGGCACUAGGUGUGGGGGCCAUUCCACGGUUUCCGCGCCGCAGCUAACGCAUUAAGUGCCCCGCCUGGGGAGUACGGCCGCAAGGCUAAAACUCAAAGGAAUUGACGGGGGCCCGCACAAGCGGCGGAGCAUGCGGAU